UACGUAGGGCGCAAGCGUUAUCCGGAAUUAUUGGGCGUAAAGAGCUCGUAGGCGGUUUGUCGCGUCUGCCGUGAAAGUCCGGGGCUCAACUCCGGAUCUGCGGUGGGUACGGGCAGACUAGAGUGAUGUAGGGGAGACUGGAAUUCCUGGUGUAGCGGUGAAAUGCGCAGAUAUCAGGAGGAACACCAGUGCGAAGGCAGCUCGC
rnacentral:rRNA from 1 species